rfam:Bernardetia litoralis DSM 6794 chromosome, complete genome.
AGGUCUAUAGCUCAGUUGGUUAGAGCGCUACACUGAUAAUGUAGAGGUCUGCAGUUCGAGUCUGCGUAGACCUA